AGUGAGAUCCCUGUUGCUGGAAGAAUAAAUAGGCUGAAAAAUCCUCUGCACUUCAAUAUGCAGUAUUGAUUGCUGCACUGUGUCAUAAUGUCAGCUGUAGCCUUCCUUCCUUCUCAGUUCCCACACAGUAACACUUUCUUUGAGGUGAAAACCAACUGCCUGUCGUUUCUGCAGAAACCACUCCCAGCUGAGACAGGUGCCUCCAGAGGCAGUAAAGGGAAUAGAAAUGAGAGGCAGGUGUGCAUGGUUGUCAUAUCAUCCUGCAGCAUCCCUGCAAUGAUGCAAAUUCAGUCACACAUUUCUGGGUUUAUGUUAAGUUUGUAGAUGUGGGCUGUGUGACUGGCACCUUCUCUUGGCACGUUAAUUCUGUCUGCCUCUCACUUCUACAGAGCUGGUUGUGCAGAUGGAGGUACAGAAAUGCCCUGCAUCGGCAGUGAAGUGACCACAUCUGUUAAGGAAGUUUUGAGCUCUAGGAGUCGCUGUGCAUGGGAGGAUUGAAAGGGUGAGAAUUUCCCCCUUUUAUUAACUCUGCUUUUCUGAAAGAAGUCAGCAAAAACAGGUAUGGAAAUAAUUCCUUCCGGAGAGGGGUAUUCUGGGAUGAUUUGUCAGCUAAUUGGAUACUUUUUGGAUACAAGCACAUGUUGCUUGGCAAAAUGUGUAAGUAAAGGUCAGGACGCUUUGAGAAGGAAUUAAGUCCUGAGAUUAGUUAGCUGAUGAUGGAAAGAGUCAUUACUUUAAUGUCACUGAAGGCAAGUAUGGAUUUGCAUUUCUGAAGUCCUUUUGCCUUUUUUUUUUUUUUUUUUUGAAAUGGAGUUGACUGAUUUUAUUUUUUCUUCAAGAGCAGUAAAAUGAUGUUCAUUCAGGGCUUAAUGUGGCCAUACCUACAGGUUAACACACUGGAAAUAUCUUCAUUCUGUCAUCUCUCUGCUGCUCUAUGGGGAAAGCAGGCUGACAUGGUUAUUAAAUCUGGCAGCUGUGUUGUGUGCACAUAGGAAUUGAGCAGAGUACAGCAUAUAGAAAACCAGUGGCUUCCUUUCACUGCUACAAGGCUUGAAAGGCAGACUAAAAAGCUUUCUCCUUUUGUAAUCACCAGUUGCUGGAACAGAGCACGAAUACUACAAAUACAGUGGCAAACAUAUGUCUGCAAAUUGAAGAUAGCUCUUUCAAUUUUUUUUUUCAGUUGCAAAAUUACAUUCCUGCUAAUCUACACAUGAACUGUGAAAACACGAGGGUUACCCCAAAAGUAAUGGCAAGGUAAUGGCUGUUUUAGUGAGGAUCUCACGUGGAUCGACUGCAACAAGGGAUCUUGGCAGAGAGGUCUUGGAGGAAAGAAGAGGUACCUGAAGACUGGAGGAUAGCCAGUGUCACUACAAAAAGGGCAAGGAGGAGGAUCUGGGAAACUACAGGCCAGUCAGUCUCACCUCUGUUCCUGGGAAAGUGAUGGAACAGCUUGUUCUGGUUGCACCUCCAAACAAUUGGAAGAGAAGGUCAUCAGGAGCAGGAUGGAUGGGGAUCAGCAUGGAUUCACCAAGGGGAAAUCAUGCUCAACCAACCUCGUAGCCUUCUGUGAUGGCAUCUCUGGCUGGGUAGAUGUGGGGAGACCUGUGGAUAUUGUCUAUGUUGAUGUCAGCAAGGCUUUUGAUACUGUCGCCCACAUCAUCCUGAUAGUGACGCUGAGAAAGUGUGGGAUAGAUAUGUGAGCAGUGAUGUGGGUUGAGAACUCGCUGAGCUCAAAGGGUGGUGAUCAGUGGUGCAGAGUCCAACUGCAGACCUGUGACUAGCAGUGUUCCCCAGGGGGUCAGUGAUGGAUCUCAUCUUGUUCAAUAUCUUCAUCAAUGACCUUGAUGAGGAGAUAGUGUCCACUCUCAGCAAGUAUGCUGAUGAUACAGAGCUGGGAGGAGCGGCUGACACACCUGAUGGCUGUGCUGCCAUUCAGCAAGACCUGGAUAGGCUGGAGAGCUGGGCGGUAAGAAACCAGAUGGGGUUUAAUAAAAGCAGAUGUAGAGUCCUGCACCUGAGAAGAAAUAACUGCAAUUAUCAGUACAGGUUGUUGCAUGACCUAGAGAGGAGCUCUGCAGAGGACCUGGGGCUCCUAGUGGACCAAAGGUUGGCCAUGAGGCAGCAGUAUGCCCUUGUGGCCAAGAGUACCAAUGGAAUCCUGGGGUGCAUUAAAAGAAGCAUGGCCAGCACAUCAAGAGAGAGGUGAUCCUCCCCCUCUGCUAUGCCAUGGUGAGGCCUUACCUGGAAUGGACAGGGGAAAUGGCUGUUAACUGGAGCAUAGGAAGUUCUGUGCCAACAUGUGAAAGAUGGAGGGUGGUGGAGCACUGGAGCAGGCUAACCAGAGAGGCUGUGGAGUCUCCUCUGGAGGCAUACCUGUGCAGUCUGCUGUAGGAAUCCUGCUUUUGCAGGGGGGUUGGACACAAUCUUUAGAGGUCUCUUCCAACCCCUAGGAUUCUGUGACUGUAGACAUUAGGUGGGACAGUGAUAUUUGAAUUGCAUAAGGUGUAAGGCUUCUUCCCAGGUGAUGUUUGAAGUUUCUGAGACCAAAUUGAGAUCAUUUUGGAUUUUGCAAUAGAACCUAUGUAUCCAGUA